UUUUAUGGUUAGACUGAAUAUAAACUGCAAGCCCAACUCCAAAGAUUUGGAACCACGCCGAGAUAGAUCCCUACGGCUGAAAAUUGUUAGUAUAGAGCUCGGGGUCGCUUUGGUACUUUAUUACUUCUUUGCAUGUUCUUCGUUAUAUUACCAAAUUUUUAUUGUAUAUAGCUUGUAUCAAUCAUAGUUUACUUGUUAUCCCC
rnacentral:lncRNA from 1 species